GAUGAACGCUAGCGGCAGGCCUAACACAUGCAAGUCGAGGGGUAGAAUUAGCUUGCUAAUUUGAGACCGGCGCACGGGUGCGUAACGCGUAUGCAAUCUACCUUGUACAGGGGGAUAGCCCAGAGAAAUUUGGAUUAAUACUCCAUGGUAUAAUUGAAUCGCAUGGUUUGAUUAUUAAAGUUCCAACGGUACAAGAUGAGCAUGCGUCCCAUUAGCUAGUUGGUGUGGUAACGGCAUACCAAGGCGACGAUGGGUAGGGGUCCUGAGAGGGAGAUCCCCCACACUGGUACUGAGACACGGACCAGACUCCUACGGGAGGCAGCAGUGAGGAAUAUUGGUCAAUGGUCGGAAGACUGAACCAGCCAUGCCGCGUGCAGGAAGACGGUCCUAUGGAUUGUAAACUGCUUUUGUACGGGAAGAAACACUCCUUCGUGAAGGAGCUUGACGGUACCGUAAGAAUAAGGAUCGGCUAACUCCGUG
rnacentral:rRNA from 1 species